rnacentral:rRNA from 1 species
GAUGAACGCUAGCGGCAGGCCUAACACAUGCAAGUCGAGGGGCAGCAUAUCCAGCUUGCUGGAUGAUGGCGACCGGCGCACGGGUGCGCAACGCGUAUGGAACCUGCCCUUUACCGGGGAAUAGCCCAGAGAAAUUUGGAUUAAUGCCCCAUGGUAUGUACUGCCGGCAUCGGCAGUAUAUUAAAGGUUACGGUAAGGGAUGGCCAUGCGUACCAUUAGCUAGUUGGCGGGGUAACGGCCCACCAAGGCGACGAUGGUUAGGGGCCCUGAGAGGGGGAUCCCCCACACUGGUACUGAGACACGGACCAGACUCCUACGGGAGGCAGCAGUGAGGAAUAUUGGACAAUGGGCGGAAGCCUGAUCCAGCCAUGCCGCGUGCAGGAAGACUGCCCUAUGGGUUGUAAACUGCUUUUAUACGGGAAGAACAACCGCCACGUGUGGCGCUCUGACGGUACCGUAAGAAUAAGGACCGGCUAACUCCG